rnacentral:rRNA from 1 species
GAUGAACGCUGGCGGCGUGCCUAAUACAUGCAAGUCGAGCGAACAGACGAGGAGCUUGCUCCUCUGACGUUAGCGGCGGACGGGUGAGUAACACGUGGAUAACCUACCUAUAAGACUGGGAUAACUUCGGGAAACCGGAGCUAAUACCGGAUAAUAUAUUGAACCGCAUGGUUCAAUAGUGAAAGACGGUUUUGCUGUCACUUAUAGAUGGAUCCGCGCCGCAUUAGCUAGUUGGUAAGGUAACGGCUUACCAAGGCAACGAUGCGUAGCCGACCUGAGAGGGUGAUCGGCCACCCUGGAACUGAGACACGGUCCAGACUCCUACGGGAGGCAGCAGUAGGGAAUCUUCCGCAAUGGGCGAAAGCCUGACGGAGCAACGCCGCGUGAGUGAUAAAGGUCUUCGGAUCGUAAAACUCUGUUAUUAGGGAAGAACAAAUGUGUAAGUAACUAUGCACGUCUUGACGGUACCUAAUCAGAAAGCCACGGCUAACUACGUG